GCUUUUGGUUCAGUGGUAGAAUGCUUGCCUGCCACGCGGGCGCCCAGGGUUCGAUUCCCGGCCGAUGCA
rnacentral:tRNA from 1 species